UACGUAGGGUGCAAGCGUUAAUCGGAAUUACUGGGCGUAAAGCGUGCGCAGGCGGUUCGUUGUGUCGGCGGUGAAAUCCCCGGGCUCAACCUGGGAAUGGCCGUUGAAACUGGCGAACUGGAGUGCGGGAGAGGGGCGUGGAAUUCCGGGUGUAGUGGUGAAAUGCGUAGAGAUCCGGAGGAACCCCAGAGGCGAAGGCGGCGCCCUGGCCCGACACUGACGCUCAGACACGACAGCAUGGGGAGCGAACGGG
rnacentral:rRNA from 1 species